UUGCCGAGAGGAGGCAGGGAAAGGCAAAGUCAUGCCGUGAGCACUCCGAGGAGUGCUAACUGAACGGGGCUCACUCUC
rnacentral:RNase_MRP_RNA from 1 species